rnacentral:rRNA from 1 species
UGAGUUCACAUGUUCACAUGAUUAAAGGUAUUCCGGUAGACGAUGGGGAUGCGUUCCAUUAGAUAGUAGGCGGGGUAACGGCCCACCUAGUCUUCGAUGGAUAGGGGUUCUGAGAGGAAGGUCCCCCACAUUGGAACUGAGACACGGUCCAAACUCCUACGGGAGGCAGCAGUGAGGAAUAUUGGUCAAUGGGCGAGAGCCUGAACCAGCCAAGUAGCGUGAAGGAUGACUGCCCUAUGGGUUGUAAACUUCUUUUAUAAAGGAAUAAAGUCGGGUAUGUAUACCCGUUUGCAUGUACUUUAUGAAUAAGGAUCGGCUAACUCCGUGCCAGCAGCCGCGGUAAUACGGAGGAUCCGAGCGUUAUCCGGAUUUAUUGGGUUUAAAGGGAGCGUAGAUGGAUGUUUAAGUCAGUUGUGAAAGUUUGCGGCUCAACCGUAAAAUUGCAGUUGAUACUGGAUAUCUUGAGUGCAGUUGAGGCAGGCGGAAUUCGUGGUGUAGCGGUGAAAUGCUUAGAUAUCACGAAGAACUCCGAUUGCGAAGGCAGCCUGCUAAGCUGCAACUGACAUUGAGGCUCGAAAGUGUGGGUAUCAAACAGGAUUAGAUACCCUGGUAGUCCACACGGUAAACGAUGAAUACUCGCUGUUUGCGAUAUACUGCAAGCGGCCAAGCGAAAGCGUUAAGUAUUCCACCUGGGGAGUACGCCGGCAACGGUGAAACUCAAAGGAAUUGACGGGGG